UCCCAUACGACAAAUCUCCUCCGUGGCUUGUCAGGUGCUAUUUUCGAGCAAGGUAUGAGCAGAUACUGCGUUUGAACAUGAUUGCUAGCAAAGAAUAGAGGAUGAAAUGUACGUUCAGUCAUUGUUUCUUCCAUGAUUGCUAGCCUCAGGUAUAUGAACUGAAUUCUAGCAGUUAUUCCUCUUAGUUUUGUGCAUUUUUGUUAGUUAAAAUCUGAGUUUUGCAGCUCGGACAAGUGUUAAAUAAGCUAUGGUCAACCUGUAUAAUGUAGUUGACCGUGUCUGUUAUCUUCUGAUGAUAUUUGACAGCUUAUGGAUAGAAAUGCAUGUUCCAGUUUUUAUAGCUAUUAACACUUGCAAGUUAGUGCACUGCUAGCUGAAUUCUGGUUAGUAAGUCUGUGUCCACCCCCUGCUUAAAUUUGGUUGUGUUUGGUUGGGAUUGAGACAGGUUUAGUUGCACUGCAACUGUAUUGCAUAUUUGAUUUGCCUAUCCGUUUUUUUUUUCUGAAGUUGAUCUGGUAAGUUUCAGAUGUUCAAUGAUGCGCUAGGAAAAAAUUGGAUGUAGAAUGGCUCCUGAGGUCCCACUUGAUUUUUUUUCUUCAUGUAUCUAUGUUCAGAUUUGGUUAGCGUGUCAUCUUUGGUAUCUACUUGGAAGGCAAUUAUCCAUGGAUUACGAUUCAGCAUUUAACAAUCUUUUCUUAACAUCUGUACCAAAGACUAUACUUAUGUUUGUAAAAUGAACACUUGGAUAAUUGGGUUUCUUGAAUGCUUGUUUUACCAAUAUCGGAAUUUUAUUCCUUGCUUGGGUUUCUUGAGUUUGUAGUGUUGUUAGUAAGGUGGUCGUGGCCAUGUUGAGCAUUGCUUAGUUCUGACACCUCUUGUAUGAGAAGGAACUUGCCCUGUUGUCCCUUCCAUGAGCAGAUUAACAACCCUCUGAGCUCUUGUUUAUCAUUUAUCUGAUGAUCCUGGUCUGCUGCUACUUCCAUUUUCUUGUGGUGUUGUUUCUGUCCAUCUUUAAGAUGGCCAUAAGUUUGGCCAACAGUGGAUAAUGCAUUCAUGCACGUGUCUGUUUUCUUAUUGCAGUAUAGAUUUUGAGAUAGAAACAUCAUUGUCCUUCUUUCAUGUGUUUGUAUGCUACUUAUUUCAUGCUACUUGUGAGAGAGAUUGAAGAACAAACAAGUUGUUUAUUUUCCUGAAAGCCCUUGCAACUAUUGUGUAUAUCUGAAAAAUGUGGUUCAUUUUCAAUUCUUAUGCACUGGACGGAGGCACGUGAAGAAGAUUCAGCUCUUUCCAGUUCUUUUACUUGUCCAAGUUUUGCUAGGAUGCUACUGAUUUGAUGCGAGAGCUAAGAAGAAUCGACGAUACACAAACCUGAAGUGUCGAUGAAAUAACCUCUGCUGUUUCGAGAGAUAUUGUUGUCCUCGAGAUAUUUAUGUCUGGCCAGUUUAUUUAGAUGAAGCUAUCAUGUUACCUCGUGCAUUUCGAUCAUUUUGUUUCAGAGACGUGAGGACAUUUAGCUGGAAAUAAUCUACAUAUACUGUCAAAGCCAUGCCAUGUGAAUUACUUUUGAACGAAUUUAUUUUUAUCAAAUUAUGUAACCUAUGCUUGUCAUAUGCAAGGCAAUUUAUUCUGACCAAUCUAUUCUGUGAUGCCUUGUGAUAUUUCGUUAUGGAAAAGAUGUGGGGUAAUGUUGCCAGAAAGUUCUGAACUUGAUGGAUAUCUCCAGCAAGUUCUUUGUGUCAUAUGUAACUGUGGAGUAUGUACCUUCUCUGUGUUCUUGUUGCUCAUGUAGAGCAGGCUCCCAAACAAGAAUAUACAGGCAAGUUAUGUUGAAAAAUCAUGAC
rnacentral:lncRNA from 1 species